CUAAAUUGAUUAAAAUGAUGUAAACUAUUUAUAUUUUACAAAGUAAAUUUAUCAGACUUACACCAGUUACGGUAAAAGUUUAAAAACUAAGUAAUCUUAAUAAAUUAAUGCUUAUUUAUUCCAGCACUGGGGAAUAGUGAGGUUGGUUAUUCUUGUGUGUUUCUGUGAUACUUGUUACGUAGGUAGGCAUUGUCAGGCGACGCGAACUUAGACAUGGCAACUGCAUUCUCGUAUCACUAGGCAUAGAAGGAAAGAUUGCUUCUGAUAGUGAACUUAUAGAUCCAGAAUUUUAUUUUGAAGCUUAUACAAUAUUUUCCCUUGUAAUUAGAACCAGUAACUUACUAAAAUAGAAGUUAGUGUAGAGAAUUUAAAUUUAAAAGUCAUAGUUUCCAUUAUAGAGCUUCAUGUAAGAAAUUUAGACUUUCUUCUUGGAUAGAACUUAAAUCAGUAUAGUUGAACCUAGAGCCACAAAUUUUAGUAGUAGAAGCCACAUAGGUUUGUGUUUUGUAUCUUGUUGUUUGCGCUUAGAUGGGAGAUAAGAUCAUCUCUAUAAGGUGGGGAGUUUUUGAAGACCAAAAGGAUGGUUUAUUUUAAAGGACAAAAAUGAAUAAGGUCGGGAGAAUGUAAAAACCCUUUAGCUCGUCAACGCUAUUAGACUAGUCAAGUGACGUAUUAGCCGAUAAUGACUCAACUAGUUUAACACGAACGCUAAUUAACAGGAAUUAAUCUAACAACGAUCUAGAUACGAAACUAGUAUCGUUGAAUAGGUCUCGAAAAGUUACGCGAAAUGGGCUACUCGAACGUGUCAUUCGGAUACCGGAUGAAGAAGAUUUUAUCAGAUUAGUAAGAAUGGCAAAAUACCCAUUUUGGAGCUUAACCGACCUGGCUUCCCUUAACGUUUGGAAGGGUGCAUUUAUCAUGGGUUGUUGGCGUUAUCACCAAGACGUGUCAAGAGAAUACUUUAAAUUUCUCUUUUCUUCUUCUUUCCUCUUCUUCUCUUCUUCUUCUCUUUUUCUUCUCGUUUCUUCUUUCUUUUCUUCUACUGCUUUGAGAGUCGACCGUGAGGUUCGGUUUGAGAGAUCAAAACAGAAGAUUUUUGAUCAGUAGAAGGUAUAGAAGAUCAUGGAAUAGUUUAUGGUGAUGUUAUGAUUGUUUGUGGUUGAUUCAAGCUCAAAAGAAGAGGUGAAGUAGAGAAAGAAUAUUAGGUUUUUCUGAAAUGAGUUCGAUUGAGGAUUUAUAUGAUAUUAAAGAUGAGAUCAAGUAAAUUAAGAUGGGUUUAUGUCUAAUUGAGUUAUGAAGUUGAUUCAGUGAAGAUCGAGGUGUUAGGGUUUCUGCAUGUGGUGUUGGAAUUUGAUUUGAGUAAGAAUUAAGAAGAUAUAGACGGAAUUACAAGAUGGUUUGCUUAAUUGAAGAGUUGAUGGGUGUUUUGAGUUUGAAUUAAAGAUUGAAGGCAGUUAGGGUUCAUGUGUUCUUCCCCAAAGUGGAAAUAGGGUUUCAAUAGAAUUGAAUUGGGGAAAAAGUAAUUACGUGGGUGCUGGUUCUUGGGUAAGAUUCUAAUUUCAUUUAAUAUUGGAAUUUUAGUUUAAAUUGCUUAUAUUAUUGAAUUGAUGUAUUGUAAAUGGUACUAUUUUGAGUUAUGAGUUGUUAUUGAAGAUACGGUGAAAUUGGGAUUGUUUGGGAAACUUGGUGUUAAGAGAAGGGUAUGGAUUGGAACUGUGUUUUGUAUUGAAUUACAGGGAGGUAGGUUGAAUGUUGUAAUGCAGUGGCUGGUGGAGUAUGGAGUUAGAGUUGAAUUGCUAGAGGUUUAGGAACUAAGGAAAUUGGUGAAGAUGCUUGAAAGGAUGAUCUGUGCAGUGAGAUAGAAAUACCUUUUGGAGUGUAAUCUGUGUUGAUAGUGGUUGGGUGAGUUACAGAGAUAUGGGUGAUGAAAUUGAACUGUGGUUGUAGUUUAGUAGGUAUUAGAGAUGGUAUGAGUAUUUUUCUGAGAAGAUGUACAUGGUGGUGGCUUGCUGAGGUAAACUAAUUGAACUGAAGUGAUGAGUCUAGAUGAUUGAUUUUUGGGUAUAACGAUUACAUAGAGUGGAUACUUUUUGUUUGGAAUUACAAUUAUAGGUGAUGUUGUUUGUGUUGGCUCUGAACCGUGGAUAACAUGUGGUGGCAGUUAGCUGUGUGGGUAGUUUGAAGAUGAUUGUAAGUGUGAAGGUUUAGAGUUGCAGUCACAACUUAAGAGUUGUUGGUGGUUUAGAAUUAGUGUUCUGUGACCAGAGAAUAAUGAAGAUGGGUGUUGUGGAGUAGAGAAGAUAGGGUUGUGGUCGUUUAGGAUUUACUAUGGUUAAGAUUAUAAUUUGGAGUUGUGUUUAUUUACAGGGAGGAGAGCUGUAUCACAUAGAAAUGUUGGAGUUAGUAAUGGUAACUGGAUAUGGUGUUGUUUGUGAAUACGAAGUAAAAUGGGUUUGAAUAGAGCUGAAAUAGGUACACUAUUGGUGGUAGUGAGUGUGGUCUCAACUGAAGUGCAGAUGGAGUCAUACUGUUUUGGUAUUGCUGAAAUUGGAGAUACAACUGUAAGUAGGGGAUAUGGUGGUUGUAUUGUAUGAACUGGUGGUGUUGAGAUGAUUAAAUCUAUAACUGAUAUUUGUUGGUGGUAAUGGAUGUGUAGUGUGGUUUGAAAUGGAUUUGAACCUCUCUUGUAAAAGCUUGCAACUUUUGUAAUUGCAGGUAGGCUGUGUUGUCUUUUUAAAUCAAUUUUGUAUUAUAGUUUGAAUGAAUGAGUUGAUUUUGAAUUAGAGUUGAAGUUUGUCUGUAAUAUGAGUAUAUACCUGAUAGUCAUCCCAGUCAGCUGACUCAGUUAAUCUGACUGAGUCACAUGUGUACCUGACCUACCUUAAUCAGUCUUAGUAGCUGAGUUAACUCUGUCUUGAAUCGGUUUGACCCAAUACUGACUCAGUGAACCUUGACUGAGUUAGUUCCUUUGACUUUUGACCUGACUUUACACGUUCACCGUCAGUCUGACCAGUGAGCUAUUUUCGCUAGAUUCUUAGACUUCUUGUGUGAUUAACAGUUAGUCUAUAUUAACAAUGAUCGAUGCAAAGGAUGAACCAGUGGAUCGUGGAUCUCGGGGUAGGCGUGGCUUGUCAUCAAAAGAGUUUCAGAGACAGAUCAGAGUUGCGCAGCAAAAGCUUCAAGGGCCGAGUUCUUUAGUUGUUUAACUUCUGAUAUGUUUAUUAUGUUGCAUAUUAUAUUUGUAAACCAAACGACUAUUGUAUAUGUAUCAUUUGAGAGAAGUUCUUGUAUAUAUAUAUAUAUUUCUGAACUGGGUUAGUUUUGGGUUAA